AUGCACAUGAGAGAGUCCACCUGCGUAGAGCAAGACUCUGUCUGCCUCAAAAUAAAGCUUCCAAGUACGGGGGCCCAGCUCCAGGUGGCGGGGGAUAUGCUGUCCAACUCCACUGAGCGGGCCAUCACCAUCGCUGGCGUGCCGCAGUCUGUCACCGAGUGUGUCACGCAGAUCUGCCUGGUCAUGCUGGAGACGCUCUCCCAGUCUCCGCAAGGGAGAGUCAUGACCAUUCCGUACCAGCCCAUGCCGGCCAGCUCUCCAGUCAUCUGAGCGGGCGGCCAAGAUCGGUGCAGCGACGCUGCGGGCUACCCUCACGCCACCCAUGACCUGGAGGGACCACCUCUAGAUGCCUACUCGAUUCAAGGACAACACACCAUUUCUCCGCCCGAUCUGGCCAAGCUGAACCGGGUGGCAAGACAACAAUCUCACUUUGCCAUGAUGCACGGCGGGCCCGGAUUCGCCGGAAUUGACUCCAGCUCUCCAGAGGUGAAAGGCUAUUGGGCAAGUUCGGAUGCAUCUACUCAAACCACCCAUGAACUCACCAUUCCAAAUAACUUAAUCGGCUGCAUAAUCGGGCGCCAAGGCGCCAACAUUAAUGAGAUCCGCCAGAUGUCCGGGGCCCAGAUCAAAAUUGCCAACCCAGUGGAAGGCUCUCCUGGUAGGCAGGUCACUAUCACUGGCUCUGCUGCCAGUAUGAGUCUGGCCCAGUAUCUGAUCAAUGCCAGGCUCUCCUCUGAGAAGGGCAUGGGGUGCAGCUAGAACAGUGUAGGUUCCCCCAUAACCCCUUUCUGCUGUUUUCCCAUGAUCCAACUGUGUAAUUUCUGGUCAGUGAUUCCAGGUUUUAAAUAAUUUGUAAGUGUUCAGUUUCUACACAACUUUAUCAUCUGCUAAGAAUUUAAAAAUCACAUUCUCUGUUCAGCUGUUAAUGCUGGGAUCCAUAUUUAGUUUUAUAAGCUUUUCCCUGUUUUUAGUUUCUUUUGGGUUUUUUGGCUCAUGAAUUUUAUUUCUGUUUGUCGAUAAGAAAUGUAAGAGUGGAAUGUUAAAAAAUUUCAGUUUAGUUCUGUAAUGUCAAGAAUUUAAGAAUUAAAAAAUGGGUUGGUU